GACGUAGGGUGCAAGCGUUGUCCGGAUUUACUGGGCGUAAAGGGCGCGCAGGCGGUCCGUUAAGUCCGAGGUGAAAUCUCCCGGCUCAACUGGGAGGGGUCUUCGGAUACUGGCGGACUUGAGGAGUGCAGAGGUGAGUGGAAUUCUCGGUGUAGUGGUGAAAUGCGUAGAUAUCGUUUGGAACGCCAACGGUGAAAACAGACAGCUGGGAGUGUGCUGACGCUGAGACACGAAAGCCAGGGGAGCGAACGGG
rnacentral:rRNA from 1 species